CAUCAAACUGGAGAGCCGGCAAGGGUUUCCCUCUACAACCAGGGCCUGCAGACCUGCGCUAGUCUACCUGCCCGAAGAACAACGAGGAAUUCCAACGACACGGCCAGAAAACUGCGAGGGGCUCCCACGUGAAUACUCACCGGCUGCUGGCCCAUAGCACAGACCUCCGUCGUCGGCACGCCGCUCGGUGUGGCAGACGAUAUCUUAUGCGCGCGUUUACGCGCGUCGUCUGCUCUUUUUAGCCGCCGCCGCCGCGUUGUCUGCUCACGCUUCAAGGCUACGUACGCAGCCGUUCCGCCUGCUUGACCUGCUGGUCCACAUAAAACCGACAAGGCACGCCGCUGUGAGCACGUCCUUAUAUAAACGCGCAAUUUGCAGCGCUCACUUAGCUUUUAUUUCGUAUUGUUUAUGUUGCUGCAGUCGUGACGAAAGAAGGAAUGGAAGGUACACGCCCUAUCGUUCGGUGGAGGGAAUAAUUGGGAUGCUCUCUCUCUCUCUUCUUCAGUCAUAAGCCCACUAAUGCUAUUCAGGCUCAUUUACGUGCUCAAGUGUGCGAACAACAACAAUAAAAGAACACACACACAAAGAAAAUGUAACGGAAUUGUCGACGGACUCAUAGAGCAAGAAGUUUAAUGCCUGAAAGGGGUGCAACCGUUCCCAUAGGAAUAGAAACUUUUUACGAUGAAGUAGUUUGCCAAGACACUUUGCUCUUACACUCGUUAUUACCUAAACAGGAGCAUGUUAAGGUGUGCUAAAAAAAGAAAAAGAAGCAAGAGUGGUAAGUUAUAAUGUGAGAAACGUAAUUUUAUUCACCUUACGUUUCAGUGUUCACUAAAGACUGCAAUUGAUUCGAGUUUAUCGCAUUGCACUAGUCCGAAUUAUUCAUGGUUUUAGAGCCUGCGGUGCAUUUUCAUCUCAGCAGGUGUUCGCUUAGAGCCCACUGCUAUAAUGUUGCGACGAAUGACAAGCCAAACCCGGAGUGCAGUACAAACAAUAACGCUUCUUUAUCAAGGAGGAAACACGAGGUCGUCGCCUUCUCGUACAUCUGAGCUUCCUCAUUGUCGUCUUCAUCGCUCGGCACAUAUGUGUGGAUGCGGCAAUAUGAAAACAAUACAUGGAUAACACAGGUAAGCAUUCUCAUGGGUCCUUUUAUACCGUCGCGAGGUUGGCGCGCGCCAUGGAUUGACUGUCCUGCACGGUUCACGUACCACUGGGAGUUUUAAUAAACGAUUCUGCUUCUGUC
rnacentral:lncRNA from 1 species